UGCAGUCGACGCGUCUCCGUUGAUGAUUUUAGGUGCUUGCACUUGAAGAUUUAACAUUGAGACGAGUGGCGAACUGGUGAGUAACACGUGGGUAACCUGCCCUUGAAGUAGGGGAUAACACUUGGAAACAGGUGCUAAUACCGUAUAACAACCAAAACCACCUGGUUUUGGUUUAAAAGACGGCUUCGGCUGUCACUUUAGGAUGGACCCGCGGCGUAUUAGCUUGUUGGUAAGGUAACGGCCUACCAAGGCGAUGAUACGUAGCCGACCUGAGAGGGUAAUCGGCCACAUUGGGACUGAGACACGGCCCAAACUCCUACGGGAGGCAGCAGUAGGGAAUCUUCCACAAUGGACGAAAGUCUGAUGGAGCAACGCCGCGUGAGUGAUGAAGGGUUUCGGCUCGUAAAACUCUGUUGUUGGAGAAGAACAGGUGUCAGAGUAACUGUUGACAUCUUGACGGUAUCCAACCAGAAAGCCACGGCUAACUACGUGCCAGCAGCCGCGGUAAUACGUAGGUGGCAAGCGUUGUCCGGAUUUAUUGGGCGUAAAGCGAGCGCAGGCGGUUUUUUAGGUCUGAUGUGAAAGCCUUCGGCUUAACCGGAGAAGUGCAUCGGAAACCGGGAGACUUGAGUGCAGAAGAGGACAGUGGAACUCCAUGUGUAGCGGUGAAAUGCGUAGAUAUAUGGAAGAACACCAGUGCGAAGGCGGCUGUCUGGUCUGUAACUGACGCUGAGGCUCGAAAGCAUGGGUAGCGAACAGGAUUAGAUACCCUGGUAGUCCAUGCCGUAACGAUGAGUGCUAGUGUGGAGGGUUUCCGCCCUUCAGUGCUGCAGCUAACGCAU
rnacentral:rRNA from 2 species